GACUGGGCCCCAAAAAUGGUAUUUAGGACUUUUGGGGUGCCCUGAAACUGCCAAUUAGGAACUUUGAGGUGCCUUGAAACCAUCAUUUGGGGAUUUUGGGGGGUCUUGAAACCGCCAAUCAGGUGUUUUGGGGUGCCUCAAAAAAUGUUAGUUAGGACUGGGCCCCAAAAAUGGUAUUUAGGAAUUUUGGGGUGCCCUGAAACCGCCAGUGUCUCCUGGAUCUAUGGGGUGCCUUGAAACCCCCAAUUUCUCUAUGGACCUAUGGGGAGCCCCGAAACCGACAAUACAUUCAAAGAUCUAUGGGGUACCCCAAAACCAUGAUAGACCUAUGGGGCACCUCGAAACCGACAGUGUCUCCUGGAUCUAUGGGGAGCCCCGAAACCGCCAACUUCUCUAUGGACUUAUGGGGAGCCUCGAAACCGUCAACUUUUCCCAGGACCUAUGGGGCACCCUGAAACCACCGGUGUCUCCUGGAUCUAUGGGGGUGCCUUGAAACCCCCAAUUUCUCCAUGGACCUAUGGGGAGCCCCGAAACCGUCAACUUUUCCCAGGAAUUAUGGGGCGCCCCGAAACCGUCAACUUUUCCCAGGACUUAUGGGGCACCCCGAAACUGCCAGUGUCCCCAUGGACCUAUGGGGAGCCUCGAAACCCCCAAUACAGCCAAAGAUCUAUGGGGUACCCCAAAACCAUGAUAGACCUAUGGGGCACCUCGAAACCGACAGUGUCUCCUGGAUCUAUGGGGAGCCCCGAAACCGCCAACUUUUCCCAGGAAUUAUGGGGCGCCCCGAAACCGCCAACUUCUCCCUGGACCUAUGGGGUGCCUUGAAACCCCCAAUUUCUCUGUGGACCUAUGGGGUACCCCGAAACCACCGGUGUCUCCUGGAUCUAUGGGGAGCCCCGAAACCGUCAACUUUUCCCAGGAAUUAUGGGGCACCCCAAAACUGCCAGUGUCUCCUGGACCUAUGGGGUGCCUUGAAACCCCCAAUUUCUCUGUGGACCUAUGGGGCACCUCGAAACCACCGGUGUCUCCUGGAUCUAUGGGGAGCCCCGAAACCGCCAAAUUUUCCCAGGACUUAUGGGGCACCCCG
rnacentral:lncRNA from 1 species